AAUCAACGCUGGCGGCGUGCCUAACACAUGCAAGUCGAACGCGAAAGGGGCUUCGGCCCUGAGUAGAGUGGCGAACGGGUGAGUAACACGUGGGUGAUCUACCUCUGAGUGGGGGAUAACGUUCCGAAAGGAACGCUAAUACCGCAUGACGUUCUGGGUUUGGAGACCUGGAAACCAAAGCCGGGGACCGCAAGGCCUGGUGCUUGGAGAGGAGCCCGCGCCUGAUUAGCUAGUUGGUGAGGUAAUGGCUCACCAAGGCAACGAUCAGUAGCCGGCCUGAGAGGGCGGACGGCCACACUGGGACUGAGACACGGCCCAGACUCCUACGGGAGGCAGCAGUGGGGAAUUGUUCGCAAUGGGCGCAAGCCUGACGACGCAACGCCGCGUGGAGGAUGAAGGUCUUCGGAUUGUAAACUCCUGUUGACCGGGAAGAAUAGGCCCUGACCCAAUACGUCGGGGCAAUGACGGUACCGGUUGAGGAAGCCACGGCUAACUCUGUGCCAGCAGCCGCGGUAAUACAGAGGUGGCAAGCGUUGUUCGGAAUUACUGGGCGUAAAGGGCGCGUAGGCGGCCUACUAAGUCAGACGUGAAAUCCCCAGGCUUAACUUGGGAACUGCGUCUGAUACUGGAAGGCUUGAGUGCGGGAGAGGGAUGUGGAAUUCCAGGUGUAGCGGUGAAAUGCGUAGAUAUCUGGAGGAACACCGGUGGCGAAGGCGGCAUCCUGGACCGACACUGACGCUGAGGCGCGAAAGCCAGGGGAGCAAACGGGAUUAGAUACCCCGGUAGUCCUGGCCCUAAACGAUGAGUGCUUGGUGUGGCGGGUAUCGAUCCCUGCCGUGCCGAAGCUAACGCAUUAAGCACUCCGCCUGGGGAGUACGGUCGCAAGGCUG
rnacentral:rRNA from 1 species